CCUACGGGUGGCAGCAGUGAGGAAUAUUGGUCAAUGGACGAGAGUCUGAACCAGCCAAGUAGCGUGAAGGAUGACUGCCCUAUGGGUUGUAAACUUCUUUUAUAAAGGAAUAAAACGAGGCACGUGUGCCUUUUUGCAUAUACUUUAUGAAUAAGGAUCGGCUAACUCCAUGCCAGCAGCCGCGGUAAAACGGAGGAUCCGAGCGUUAUCCGGAUUUAUUUGGUUUAAAGGUAGCGUAGAUGGGUUGUUAAGUCAGUUGUGAAAGUUUGCGGGUCAACCGUAAAAUUGCAAUUGAUACUGGCAGUCUUGAGUACAGUUGAGGUAGGCGGAAUUCGUGGUGUAGCGGUGAAAUGCUUAGAUAUCAUGAAGAACCCCGAUUGCGAAGGCAGCUUACUAAACUGUGACUGACAUUGAUGCUCGAAAGUGUGGGUAUCAAACAGGAUUAGAUACCCCAGUAGUC
rnacentral:rRNA from 1 species